rnacentral:rRNA from 1 species
GACGAACGCUGGCGGCGUGCUAAACACAUGCAAGUCGAACGAUGAAGCUGGAGCUUGCUCCGGUGGAUUAGUGGCGAACGGGUGAGUAACACGUGAGCAAUCUGCCCUUGACCCUGGGAUAACUGCGGGAAACUGUAGCUAAUACCGGAUACUUUCACUGGAAGGCAUCUUCUGGUGAAGAAAGAAUCUCGGUCAAGGAUGAGCUCGCGGCCUAUCAGCUUGUUGGUGAGGUAACGGCUCACCAAGGCGACGACGGGUAGCCGGCCUGAGAGGGUGACCGGCCACACUGGGACUGAGACACGGCCCAGACUCCUACGGGAGGCAGCAGUGGGGAAUAUUGCACAAUGGGCGCAAGCCUGAUACAGCAACGCCGCGUGAGGGAUGAAGGCCUUCGGGUUGUAACCCUCUUUUAGCAGGGAAGAAGCGAAAGUGACGGUACCUGCAGAAAAAGCACCGGCUAACUACGUGCCAGCCGCCGCCGUAA